rnacentral:rRNA from 1 species
GUGCCAGCAGCCGCCACGGUAAUACGGAGGGUGCGAGCGUUAAUCGGAAUUACUGGGCGUAAAGCGUGCGUAGGCGGCUGUUUAAGUCAGAUGUGAAAGCCCCGGGCUUAACCUGGGAACGGCAUUUGAUACUGGGCAGCUAGAGUUUAGGAGAGGAGAGUGGAAUUUCCGGUGUAGCGGUGAAAUGCGUAGAGAUCGGAAGGAACACCAGUGGCGAAGUCGUCUCUCUGGCCUAAAAAUGACGCUGAGGUACGAAAGCGUGGGUGGCAAACAGCAUUAGAUACCCUCACAGUCCACGCCG